CCUACGGGCGACUGCAGUGAGGAAUAUUGGUCAAUGGCCGGAAGGCUGAACCAGCCAAGUCGCGUGAGGGAAUAAGGCCCUAUGGGUCGUAAACCUCUUUUGUCAGGGAGCAAAGGCGUCCACGUGUGGACGAGAGGAGAGUACCUGAAGAAAAAGCAUCGGCAAACUCCGUGCCAGCAGCCGGGGUAAUACGGAGGAUGGGAGCGUUAUCCGGAUUUAUGGGGUUUAAAGGGGGCGUAGGGGGGGUGUAAAGUCAGCGGUAAAAUUUCGGGGCUCAACCCCGUCGUGCCGUUGAAACUGACGCCCUUGAGUGGGUGAGAAGUAAGCGGAAUGCGUGGUGUAGCGGUGAAAUGCAUAGAUAUCACGCAGAACGCCGAUUGCGAAGGCAGCUUACCGGCUCUCAACUGACGCUGAGGCACGAAAGUGCGGGUAUCGAACAGGAUUAGAUACCCGAGUAGUC
rnacentral:rRNA from 1 species